rnacentral:rRNA from 1 species
CUGGCGGUAUGCUUAAGACAUGCAAGUCGAACGGAAUCUUCGGAUUCAGUGGCGGACGGGUGAGUAACACGUGGGAAUCUACUGAGUAGUGGGGGACAGCCCGGCGAAAGCCGGAUUAAUACCGCAUACGCCCUACGGGGGAAAGGCGCAAGCCGCUAUUUAAUGAGCCCGCGUAAGAUUAGCUAGUUGGUAGGGUAAAGGCUUACCAAGGCAACGAUCUUUAGCUGGUCUGAGAGGAUGACCAGCCACAUCGGGACUGAGACACGGCCCGGACUCCUACGGGAGGCAGCAGUCGGGAAUAUUGGACAAUGGGCGCAAGCCUGAUCCAGCAAUACCGCGUGUGUGAAGAAGGCCUGCGGGUUGUAAAGCACUUUCAGUUGGGAAGAUAAUGACGUUACCAACAGAAGAAGCACCGGCUAACUCCGUGCCAGCAGCCGCGGUAAUACGGAGGGUGCAAGCGUUAAUCGGAAUUACUGGGCGUAAAGCGUGCGUAGGCGGUUUUUUAAGUCAGAUGUGAAAUCCCCGGGCUCAACCUGGGAACUGCAUCUGAUACUGGGAGACUAGAGUGUGGGAGAGGAGAGUGGAAUUUCCGGUGUAGCGGUGAAAUGCAUAGAGAUCGGAAGGAACAUCAGUGGCGAAGGCGACUCUCUGGACCAACACUGACGCUGAGGCACGAAAGCGUGGGUAGCAAACAGGAUUAGAUACCCUGGUAGUCC